rnacentral:lncRNA from 1 species
AUGCUUUUGUGUUGUGUUGCCAAGUUUCGUAUUUCUGGGGCGUUUAGUUGUGUUGUUAUAGUCAUGAUGCGUUGUUGUGAGUUUUGUGGGUCCAGUGUGGUUUUGUGGUGUGGUUGUGUUGUUACAACUGGGAGGCAAGGCUUUUGCAUUGUUUUGCCAAGUUUUGUAUUUCUGGGGCGUUUAGUUGUGUUUGUGGUGUGGUUGUGUUAUUACAACUGGGAGGCAAGGCUUUUGCAUUGUGUUGCCAAGUUUUGUAUUUCUGGGGCGUUUAGUUGUGGUUGUGUUGUUACAACCGGGAGGCAAGGCUUUUGCGUUGUGUUGUCAAGUUUUAUAUUUCUGGGGCAUUUAGUUGUGUGUCAAAUUUCGUAUUUCUGGGGCGUUUAGUUGUGUUGUUAUAGUCACGAUGUGUUGUUGUGAGUUUUAUGGGUCCGGAUUGUGGUUUUGUGGUGUGGUUGUGUUGUUACAACCUCGGAGUGAAGGCUUUUUG